rnacentral:misc_RNA from 1 species
UAAUAAGUGUUUUAUGGCACUUUUUAAUCCAUAUCCACCUUGUGUGCAAUGUCAGUCGAUCUUCUUUCAUGGAGAUCGACCAACAUCAACCAUUAUCUUUUUAACUCUUUGUCUGAAAAAUAUUAUGAAUAAACAAUUCAAAAUA